GCCCCCGUAGCUCAGAAGGAUAGAGCGACGGUUUCCUAAACCGUAGGACACAGGUUCGAAUCCUGUCGGGGGUG
rnacentral:tRNA from 1 species